CCAGGCCCCCAACCGGCGUGGGGUCCUGGGUCGUGACGACAGCAGAAUAAUUCGCACCAACUUUUUUGACAUGGUGUGGCUCUCGGGUCAGGUGCUCGACGAGCCUCCGUCUUCAGAAAGAGUCUAUAGGAGCAGACACAAGACCGGAACCAGAAAAAGGCAGAACCUCAGGGUGAGAAAGAGAUGGAAGCUGUCUCAGGUGUCUGAAGAGAUUGUCAGGCCAUCACAAGGCAAUUUCAUGCAGGCACCCACCAUUGGACUAAUGUCUAAUAAACUGCAGGAGAAAGUCUGAAUGCCAAGGGGAAAUUAACACUGCUCACCAAAAGUACACCAGCCAGAAAUAAAACCAGGAUCCAAGAACUGUAAGGUGUCCAUGUUGUCCACUAUGCCAGUCUUAUAUGUUGCCUUGUGUGUCAAAUUACCACAUAUCAGUUACAGAUUUGGUUGUGUGUGGUGUGCUUAUUAAUUAUUUACCAAUAGCAACGAAAUACUGCAAACAUUUUGUCUCCUUGAUAUAUUGUUUUUGGAAAUUAUGAUCUGUGUAUGUCUAAAAGCAUUUUAUCAUCAUAGGUAUUAAUUAAAAAAGGUUAUUUUCCAAUAUUUUGCAAACAUUGUUUAAAGCAAAUGGAAAAUCUUAAAAACAAUUUACACAAAAUGUAAUUGGGAGUCAUCAAAUUAAAACAAUUUCCCAUCCUUA